rnacentral:rRNA from 1 species
UACGUAGGGUGCAAGCGUUGUCCGGAAUUAUUGGGCGUAAAGAGCUCGUAGGCGGUCUGUCGCGUCGGCUGUGAAACCCCGAGGCUCAACCUCGGGCCUGCAGUCGAUACGGGCAGACUAGAGUAUGGCAGGGGAGACUGGAAUUCCUGGUGUAGCGGUGAAAUGCGCAGAUAUCAGGAGGAACACCGGUGGCGAAGGCGGGUCUCUGGGCCAUAACUGACGCUGAGGAGCGAAAGCGUGGGGAGCGAACAGG